CUCCGGUUGAUCCUGCCGGACCCGACUGCUAUCAGAGUGAGAUUAAGCCAUGCGAGUUAACGUAGCAAUACGUGGCGCACGGCUCAGUAACACGUAGUCAACAUGCCCAGAGGACGUGGAUAACCUCGGGAAACUGAGGAUAAACCGCGAUAGGUCAUCACUUCUGGAAUGGGUAAUGACUUAAAUCUAUAUGGCCCCUGGAUUGGACUGCGGCCGAUCAGGCUGUUGGUGAGGUAAUGGCCCACCAAACCUGUAACCGGUACGGGCUCUGAGAGGAGGAGCCCGGAGAUGGGCACUGAGACAAGGGCCCAGGCCCUAUGGGGCGCAGCAGGCGCGAAACCUCUGCAAUAGGCGAAAGCUUGACAGGGUUACUCUGAGUGAUUUCCGUUAAGGAGAUCUUUUGGCACCUCUAAAAAUGGUGCAGAAUAAGGGGUGGGCAAGUCUGGUGUCAGCCGCCGCGGUAAUACCAGCACCCCGAGUGGUCGGGACGUUUAUUGGGCCUAAAGCAUCCGUAGCCGGUUCUACAAGUCUUCCGUUAAAUCCACCUGCUUAACAGAUGGGCUGCGGAAGAUACUAUAGAGCUAGGAGGCGGGAGAGGCAAGCGGUACUCGAUGGGUAGGGGUAAAAUCCGUUGAUCCAUUGAAGACCACCAGUGGCGAAGGCGGCUUGCCAGAACGCGCUCGACGGUGAGGGAUGAAAGCUGGGGGAGCAAACCGGAUUAGAUACCCGGGUAGUCCCAGCUGUAAACGAUGCAGACUCGGUGAUGAGUUGGCUUAUUGCUAACUCAGUGCCGCAGGGAAGCCGUUAAGUUUGCCGCCUGGGGAGUACGGUCGCAAGACUGAAACUUAAAGGAAUUGGCGGGGGAGCA
rnacentral:rRNA from 1 species